rnacentral:lncRNA from 1 species
CCUGGCCUUUAAGCUCUAUAGGAGAGUUAUAUUGAUCACUUCCACCUCUCCAUUUGCCUAUGGGUGGCCUACCAAUGUGAAAUGAUGUUCUAUUCUAUGGCUUUCAUAGAAUUUGUAGAGUUGAGCACCACUAAAUUGUCUAUUGUUGUCUGUGAUCAGCACUUUGGGAAGACCAUACUAGCAUGUAACAGGUUUUCAAAUAAAAUCUUUCACUCUUACCUUGGUUAUGCAAGCCAAAGGCUCAGCUUC